GUAUUUAGCAAAAUGUUUCUCAAAAUAUAGUAAAGUAAUGACCUUUUCAGAGGAACAAAUACUAAGAGAGUUUAUUGCUGUAAACUCAAACUAGAAGUAUUAGGCUAUAGUAAAAUUUACCUAGAUGGAUAAACCUAACUGUAGGAAGAAAUGUAGAUAUCUUGGAAAUCACACAUGUAUGGUUAAAAAUAGAAGGGUUGUGAAUGAGGCAACAAUAUUGUUUGCCCUGAAAUUUAUAGUUUGUAGAACCAAAAGGUAUUAAAACAAUUGUGUAAUAAGGAGGUCAGGUAUAUGAAAAUAUUUUAUGGUUUUUCAUUAUUUGGUAAGUGGUAAAACUACCAAGUUAAGAAAGGCUCUAAUAGAUGACACAUUCAUAGUCAUGUGGAUAGUGUGUUUGUGUCAAUGCCAGGCCAAAUAGACUUUGAAUCACGAGAUAUUACUAAAAGAUAAGGAAUAAUGUCUUAUAAUGAUAAAGGGGUCAAUUUAGUUGGAAAGCAUAUAUAAAUUGAUGAAAAUAAAAGGAGACACGAAUAAAUCCACAAUCACAAGAAGAGAUUACACCACAAUUCUUUCAGUAACCAGUGAAAGAAUUUGUUAAAUAUAUAAGGAUGUAGGCCAUUUGAACAAGGAUAUUUAACAGUUUGCCAUAAAUUUCAUUGAACAGAAUUUACAUUCUUUUCUUCUUUGUAAGUUAUAUUUUCUUCUUUAUCGACACAUAAUAUUUACCUGUUUAUUGAGUGCAGUAUGAUUUCUUUCUUUUUAUUUUUAAGAUUUAUUUAUUUAUUUGAAAGGCAGAGUUAUAUCUAUCUAUCUCUAUCUAUAUCUAUCUAUCUAUGUGUAAGUCAUGUGGGUCUCCUACUUGGGUGGCAGGGACUCAAGCACUUGGACCAUCUUCCUCUGCUUUCCCAGGUGUAUUAGCAGGGAGCAGGAUUGGAAGUGGAGCAGCCGGGACUCAAACUGGCACCCAUAUAGGAUGUCAGUAGUUCAAGCAGCAACUUAACCCUCUGUGCCACAGUGCCACACCUUU
rnacentral:lncRNA from 1 species